AAGGUGAAAUUAAAAAAAUAAGAGCAGCUGCAUACAGCCUAUGUGCGCUAAUAGCAGAUACCUGUGUUUUUUAACUUCAUGAAUAAAUGUGUUGUUCAAACCUAUGAUGGAGCAGCUGUAGUGGAAUGUAUCUGCUAUUUGUAUCUCCAGCUAAGUACCCUCCUGUUCCCUGAUUAAGAGGUGAUGACCACUUCACUCCACUACCAUUGUCUACUCUCUCCUGAUAUGAACUGAAGCCAUUUCUCAUGUGCCCGCUCAUCCACUGACACAUUAAAUGUUUCCUCUUGUUUUGAUUGGGGGUUAAACUUGGAACAUUGUUAUACUCAGAAGUAUAGGAGCAUUAGUUACUAAAGAGACAUGAGGGGUGGAGCCAUAAUGAAGCUUGGGAGGGGCUGAGCGCAGGGGAAACCAAUCACAUGUGACAGUACAGAUAAGGGGAGAAACCAGUUGAAGGCUCAUAUCACUUAGUUCCCUGCUUAGCAAGAAUGAUGCAAUAUUUAGCGAUAAGGAGGAGACUCCACCCAAAGUGGGUUAUGAAUACUACCACGGGGGGAAGCCAUGUCUGUGUCUGAAUUACAGCUGUAUCGACCCUUUGGGAAGAAUUAAACUUGGUCAAAUCUUGUCCUGCACUCAAGUCAAGCCUCUGAACACCUCAACUCAUACCCUCAUUCAAUCACUGCUGUGAUCCCUUCCCAAUACUGUGACGGAAUCAAGGUGCGGGUCACAGUUACCACAGCCACAAAGUCAAAAUUGGCUAUAUCGGUUAGGCAUAAGGUUAGUAGUGUGGUUAAGAUUAGGGU